UACGUAGGGUGCGAGCGUUGUCCGGAAUUAUUGGGCGUAAAGAGCUCGUAGGCGGUCUGUCGCGUCUGCUGUGAAAAUCCGGGGCUCAACCCCGGACUUGCAGUGGGUACGGGCAGACUAGAGUGUGGUAGGGGAGACUGGAAUUCCUGGUGUAGCAGUGAAAUGCGUAGAUAUCAGGAGGAACACCGAUGGCGAAGGCAGGUCUCUGGGCUGACACUGACGCUCAGGCACGAAAGCGUGGGGAGCAAACAGG
rnacentral:rRNA from 1 species